rnacentral:lncRNA from 1 species
CCUGACCUUAUUAUUAAAGAAGAAAUCAAAUCUCUCUGCGAAGCAUAAGAACUACAUUACUAUUUGUUAAAAACUUGUUGUACUUGCAAGGCAACAUUCCUCCAACGUAGUCCUACAGUCCUACCCAUAUAUAUCAUACCCUCUCUCCUCUCUAAAUCUCGAAAUUAACUAGAAACGAGUAAUUAGGUGCACCAUUAAUUUCUCCAGAAGCCAAAUUGUUGUUAGUAGUUUUGAUG